UGCAAAAAGUUCUGAAAGACAGAAGAAAUAGCAGACUGGAGGGGAACAGAAGUUUUCCUUCAAAAAGAAAAAGGAAGAUACAGCAAAUUAUAUCAAUAUCUGGGAGGAUUUUCUAGCACAUUAUAAGAGAUCAGUCAGAUUUGGACUUAGAGGAACAGAUUUAAACUUCAGAAAGACUGAAUUCAAUGAAAUGUUAGAGAGAACUUCCUAAAUCAUCUAGAGAUGUGGUGUGCUCACUUUCCCUGCAUACAUUUGAACAGGACCUAGACCUCCACCUUCUAGGAAUGCUUCAGCUUGAAUUCCUAUGCAGAGCAGAAGUUUCAUCUCAUGGACCUCAAAGGCUGAGGCCAACCAUUGCUGUAAUUUCCAAGAGAGCUGCCCUCCUACCCCAGCACAUCUGGAGGGCCAUUUGCUGGGGAAGGCACCUGCAGUGUCAAGCUACAUAAAUGUGAUUUUGUAAGGUAGGCUAUUUAUUGUUAUCAUUGCAAAGGAAUAUGCAAAUAUGUAUUGCGCCUAAGAUUCUUUCUUUCCAGGAAAUGCAAAUGAAUAAUUAAGAAGAACUUCUGUGUUUUGUAUUAUAUGGUUCUUCUUGGCACAGCAUUAGCAAAUAAAUUGUGCUAAGGAGGAAUGAAUUUCUUUCUCUCUUAGCAAGGUAUUAUUUGUAGG